AGGUAUCCAGAUCCCAUCUGAGU
rnacentral:siRNA from 1 species